rnacentral:rRNA from 1 species
CCCUUAGAUGUUCUGGGCCGCACGCGCGUUACACUGAUGCAUUCAACGAGUUCUUCCUUGGCCGAGAGGCCUGGGCAAUCUUUUGAACGUGCAUCGUGAUAGGGAUAGAUUAUUGCAAUUAUUAAUCUUGAACGAGGAAUUCCUAGUAAACGCAGUUCAUCAAACUGCAUUGAUUACGUCCCUGCCCUUUGUACACACCGCCCGUCGCUCCUACCGAUUGAAUGUUCCGGUGAGCUCUUCGGGCUGCGCGGUCUGCAGUUUCUGCGUUCCGUGCGGAAAGUUGCGCAAACCUUAACAUUUAGAGGAAGGAGAAGUCGUAACA